ACUUCGGAAGAUGGUCAAGGUAC
rnacentral:siRNA from 1 species